UACGUAGGAGGCAAGCGUUGUCCGGAUUUACUGGGCGUAAAGCGUGCGCAGGCGGCUUUGCAAGACAGAUGUGAAAUCCCCGGGCUUAACCUGGGAACUGCAUUUGUGACUGCAUGGCUGGAGUGCGGCAGAGGGGGAUGGGAAUUCCGCGUGUAGCAGUGAAAUGCGUAGAUAUGCGGAGGAACACCGAUGGCGAAGGCAAUCCCCUGGGCCUGCACUGACGCUCAUGCACGAAAGCGUGGGAGCGAAACAAGG
rnacentral:rRNA from 1 species